UUUUUUUGAUACAUCGGAAGAUUAACAAGUAAAUAAAACGAACUAACUAAACCCAAUAAUGUCCUUCAACAGAAGGACUUCAAGCUCCGGGGAGGGGGUAGCCAACGCACUGUAGCCAGCAACGGGGAGAAGAGACCCUCUCUUCGCCAGACAAUCUGCUACCAUGUUCACGUCUCGACAGCACCAAAAAAGCUCCACU
rnacentral:lncRNA from 1 species